rnacentral:rRNA from 1 species
UACGGGGGGGGUAAGCGUUGUUCGGAAUUACUGGGCGUAAAGCGCGUGUAGGCGGGCUGAUAAGUCGGAUGUGAAAUCCCUGAGCUCAACUCAGGAACUGCAUUCGAAACUGUCAGUCUUGAGUAGUGGAGAGGAAAGCAGAAUUCCUGGUGUAGAGGUGAAAUUCGUAGAUAUCAGGAGGAACACCGGUGGCGAAGGCGGCUUUCUGGACACUUACUGACGCUGAGACGCGAAAGCGUGGGGAGCGAACAGG